rnacentral:lncRNA from 1 species
GAAAACUUCAAACAACAAGAGUAGCAGACGUAUACUUCUGCAAACUCUUGGAAAUUCAGAACCUCUUUUUUUGAUAUCCUUAUUUUCAAAGUAGGCAAAAUUAAAAACGACUUAAUUAGUACCAUUAAGUGAGAAAGUGAUGGGAAAGUGUUAUCCAUCAAGUGUGAUGUAAUAUUCUGUACUUGUUACUCUUUCAAAACUAAUGUAUUAAAAUCAGCAUAUACUGAAGAAAAAAUCAUUACUCAAAAAUAGUUUCAAUUGGGCAAAUGUGUGUCUUCAACUUUGUUGAAAUGACAGAGUUUGUGUUGAUCCUCAUAUACAAUAAUGUUGUUGUAACACAAGUGUUAUUAGACCAUAGCCACAAAAUAUUUAAUGUGUUGUGCCUUCAUGAUGUAACAGAACAUUCUCCAGGUAGGUAGUUGGGGAAAAUAAAGGGAUAAAUCUCUAAUUAUUGCUGUUUAACUGUUUCUUAUCAUAGUUGGUCAAUGCCUGGCAGGUACCAGCAUUUUGUCACUUGGGUCAAACCAAGGGAGUGACAGAUAAUGUUAAUAAGAUCUCAGUUGCACGUGCAAACAAAUCCAAAUUUGAACAUUCUUAGGAGGUUUUUUGUUAAGGCAUGACAGAUGAUUUAAACAAAUAAAUAGCAUGCAACAAAAUGUCUUUAUUGAAAGGAGUGGAAGUUAUAUUAAUGCCACGGUUCACCAUCAAUUUACACGUUAAAAAAAAAGAAAAAAGUUUAAAAAAAUUGCUAAUCUGAUAGUUAAUUUGUUCUUACCAAAAAUGAAGUUACUUUGUAAAUAGCAGUUCACAUUUUUCCACAGUAUAAUGGAAAAUAAUGGGUAGGGGUGCAUUGCUUAUUGAAGUCAUUUUUGUCGGUUUGUGAGGGGUGUUUGAUGACUUUGACAAAAUAAAUAUCUAAACAAUUAUCCUUGUUACAGCUUUGCAAGUUCUACGUUAUUUACACUUAUCAGCUCUUGCAAUAAAUGUUCUGAAUUACUC